GGCGCCGCAGCUCAAUUGGUAAGAGCGCCUGUCUAGUGAACAGGAGGUCGUGGGUUCAAGUCCCAUCGGUGCCU